rnacentral:rRNA from 1 species
CUCCCAAACCAUUGUGAACAUACCUUCAACGUUGCUUCGGCGGGUUGGCCCCGGUCUCCGGGGUCCCCGGCCCUACUCGGGCGCCCGCCGGAGGUAUCUAACUCUUGAACUUUUAUGGCCUCUCUGAGUCUUUGUACUUAAUAAGUCAAAACUUUCAACAACGGAUCUCUUGGUUCUGGCAUCGAUGAAGAACGCAGCGAAAUGCGAUAAGUAAUGUGAAUUGCAGAAUUCAGUGAAUCAUCGAAUCUUUGAACGCACAUUGCGCCCGCCAGUAUUCUGGCGGGCAUGCCUGUUCGAGCGUCAUUUCAACCAUCAAGCCCCCGGCUUGUGUUGGGGACCUGCGGCUGCCGCAGGCCCUGAAAACCAGUGGCGGGCUCGCUAGUCACUCCGAGCGUAGUAAUACAUCUCGCUCAGGGCGUGCUGCGGGUUCCGGCCGUUAAAAAGCCUUAUUUACCCAAGGUUGACCUCGGAUCAGGUAGGAAGACCCGCUGAACUUAAGCAUAUCAAUAAGCGGAGGA